rnacentral:rRNA from 1 species
AGAGUUUGAUCCUGGCUUAGGAUGAACGCUGGCGGCGUGCUUCAUACAUGCAAGUCGAACGAGAAUUGGUAGCUUGCUACCAAGGAAAGUGGCGGACGGGUGAGUAAUACAUAGGGAAUCUGCCCUUAGCCGGGGGACAACAGUUGGAAACGACUGCUAAUACCGCAUAUGAGUAUAGUUGAGAUACUAUACUUGAAAACUCCGGUGGCUAAGGAUGAGCCUGUGCCUGAUUAGUUAGUUGGCGGGUAAAGGCCCACCAAGGCGACGAUCAGUAGCUGGUUUGAGAGGAUGAUCAGCCACAAUGGGACUGAGACACGGCCCAUACUCCUACGGGAGGCAGCAGUAGGGAAUUUUGCGCAAUGGGCGAAAGCCUGACGCAGACCAACGCCGCGUGUGUGAUGAAGCCCCUAGGGGUGUAAAACACUGUCAGUGGGGACGAAAGAUGACGGUACCCACAGAGGAAGCACCGGCUAACUCCGUGCCAGCAGCUGC